GCCAGACUCCUACGGGAGGCAGCAGUGGGGAAUAUUGCACAAUGGGGGAAACCCUGAUGCAGCGACGCCGCGUGGGUGAAGAAGUAUUUCGGUAUGUAAAGCUCUAUCAGCAGGGAAGAAAAUGACGGUACCUGACUAAGAAGCCCCGGCUAACUACGUGCCAGCAGCCGCGGUAAUACGUAGGGGGCAAGCGUUAUCCGGAUUUACUGGGUGUAAAGGGAGCGUAGGUGGCGUGUCAAGUCAGGAGUGAAAAACCAGGGCCCAACCUUGGGACUGCUCUUGAAACUGGCAGGCUUGAGUGCUGGAGAGGUAAGCGGAAUUCCUAGUGUAGCGGUGAAAUGCGUAGAUAUUAGGAGGAACACCAGUGGCGAAGGCGGCUUACUGGACGGUGACUGACACUGAGGCUCGAAAGCGUGGGGAGCAAACAGGAUUAGAUACCCCCGUAUC
rnacentral:rRNA from 1 species